GCUUCUUGGGGAGGCCCGGCGGACUGCGAGCCUGGGAGCCUUGCUCUCGACCCGGGAGGCGAGGGGAGGCGACUCGAGGCGAGACAGCGGUUUCGUGCGCGGACCUCGGCCCCGGGGUCACUCGGGACCCGAGGAGGGCGGCCGCUUGGCGACGCUGGGCCUCUCCGUGCGGACGGCCGUCGUGGCGCGGCCCGGCCCCAUCCCAGCCCCGCGGGGGAUCGGGAGGGGCGGCCUGGCCGCAUCAGCCCAGGCCCGGGCUUUGGCGCCUCGCCUGGUUUCCCGGCUCUCGAGCCGGGCCGCUUCGGGCGGGCUGUUCGAUGUCUCCAGGCCUCGGCGUUCAUCUGAAAAACGCGGAUCUUCCUGAGAGAACACUUCAGCCCAGGAAAGCCUUACACGAAAUGGCACCCUUGACGUUCUCUCCCCAGAGUUCACUGUUUAAGAUUUGGAGCAAGAGGUGGUGGUGGCCUUCCCCCGAAGAAAUUUGGUAAUCCUGGGGAGCGUUUGCGUAAAAAAAAGUGGGAUUUGAGUGAGCUCCCCAAGUUUGAGAAAAAUUUUUAUGUGGAACAUCCGGAAGUAGCAAGGCUGACACCAUAUGAGGUUGAUGAGCUACGCCGAAAGAAGGAGAUUACAGUGAGGGGGGGAGAUGUUUGUCCUAAACCCGUGUUUGCCUUCCAUCAUGCUAACUUCCCACAAUAUGUAAUGGAUGUGUUGA
rnacentral:lncRNA from 10 species